UUACCAGGAUUGGCCAGUAUGCAUCUUCUCCCUCCCACUGAUGCUGCUUUUCUAUUGGAUAGAUCCCUCAGCUGUCCGGCCCCCUUGCCUGAGGCGUCGCUGAUUGGCGGAUCUAACGGACAGCCCGAGAGCGGCUACGUGCAACUGUGUUGGUGGCGACAGUCCUAGUCACCAGUGGUGCGGCAGGCUCCGUGCCAGGUACAGGUGACACAAGGCCUCUUCCUGCUGCCGGCCUAGCCUGGAACUUGCGGCAGUCCUCCUGCCUCAACCUUCCUAGAAUGGGAAGGCUAAUCCUACAAGUUUUCUUAGGAUCAUUACCUUAAAUUGCCUUUCUGAAUGCCUGGGUACCCCUUACCCUACAUUCAAAUCCCGGCGUGGUAUUUGCUAACCAGUUGACUCUAUUCAUCAUUGCGAUUUGUUUCCUCUUUUAAAAAUAGAGCGAGGACAAAAGUUGUUAAUCUUGAAAUGAAGAUAGGAGUGCAAACGGAAGAUCUAGAACAAUGACUACCGUUGGCCCUCAGAUAUUAAUCUAAAUACACUUCCACACUGAGAGGUGCCAGGAUUCCUGGAGAAAUGACUGAAUCCAGGUCAAAGCUGGGAAUGAAAAAUAUCUCUUGGAAGAACAAUGAUCCAAAAAGGGAGAAUCCCAAGACAAACAAGGUCCUUCCUAAAAGACCAGUCACUAGACAAAGUGAGAACAACUUGAACAUCAGGACAACUGGGAACUAUAAAAUGAUCGCGAGCACUAAAUGCCCCAUUCUAGAAGUAAAUCAAAUUAAAACAGAAAAGAGAAACAUAUGGCCACACUAUCUGCGGUGAAUACCUCAUCACUUUUAAAAAGUGAUGAUUUAAGAAAAUGAGGGUUGUUCAGCCUUAGCAAUCAUCUUCCUUGAAACUCCCGCACCAGGAAAGCGAAGUGGCUGAAGAAGCAAACACGCAGACUGAAACGCAAGAGAAGAAAGAUGAGGCAGAGGUCCAAGUAAACCAAGCUUGUGCACCCACGAAGCCUGCAGGAGCGGAAGUAGGAGGUGCUGAAGGCCGAGACACUGUCCAAGUUGUUGGACUGUAUGCUGUUAUGGCUAAUAAAUCUCAGUGGAUCUGGGACACCAUCUUGCUGAGAUCACCUGGGAAACUGACUGCCAUUUUUACAUCCAAACUGCUGGCCCUCUGCUCUGGACCUUUGGCAUUCUGGACUAGUUCUGUUCUCACUUGUGGCCAAGUGUAAUGUAACUCGUGUACAAUAAAUAGAUCCUCUUGUCAGCGGAUAAAUAAAAAAACAAAGAAAGAAAAGAGAGAAAAUGAGCAUUUAUUUUUCUACCUUUCUAGUACCAGCUGUAUUUUUUGAAAACCAAAUAGCAUUAGCUGAUGAGGAAUCAAUUCUUUGUAUAAAAAAAAAAAAGUAGUAUACUGGUUAAAGGGAUAGGGAUACUGGGGUUAGAACAUAUGUCUCUGAUCAACAAACGUUCCUGUCAGCAGUAUCAGGCCACAGGGAUGUUCCUAGGGUAUUAGUUAUCCCCUGGGGAUCACUGCUAGUAAUUGGACAGGGAGACCAGAACUAUUUGGGAAACCUGAUCUCUCUUUCCUGAUAGCCAGUCUAUCUGGUUACCAGUAAAAGUAGCUUGACACAGUCUUCUGAUAGGAAGCAACAUGAAGCCAGGCAUUGUGGACUGCAUCUUUAAUACCAGCACUGAGAAGGCAGAGGCAGGCAGAUCUCUGUGAGUUCAAGGCCCACCUGGCCUAUAAAGCGAGUUCCAAAAUAGCCAGGGCUAUUAUACAGAGAAACCCUGUUUUGAAAAACAACAGCAACAAUAAUCAACAUGAAACCCCUGCACCUGUGAACUACAAUUUACAAAGGUCUUUAAACUCAAAAUAAGCCUUUUAUAUCACCCUGUUCCAGAAACCAUUCACAUAGAAGAACAAAUGUCAAUAGAAGGAAUCAAUGAAGAACACCUGGAACAUCUCUCUUACAUUGUUGUGAUUAAAAGUAAAAGAGUUCUGAUGUCACAUAGAUAAAAGGAGGGUGAUGACUGAAAAGAGUACUCUAAGAGAAACCCACCCAGCGAACACAUUCCCAAGGUGUUGCGUCAUGAAACGUGUCAGUCAGAUAAUCAGGCCGGAUCCAGUCAGUCUUGCUGUACAGAAUAAUGAGACGUCAUCUGGAGAGGAUGAAGCGGUUGCCGUGACUACAAGAGACAGACUUUUCCAGGCUGCUUUAGGAGAGGACCACAAUAUAUCUGUUCUAGAACCCGCUGCCAACCUUCACAGUUCCUUCCAGAAGGUUCUGAAAGAACCAUUUAGCACUCUGUAUGUCAUUUCCUGUAGCCUUUGUGCUACAAAACAAACUAGGGCAAUAUUGUCAGACCGAGACAGACGUACCAGGAUUGAUGACUGUUACGGCCAGGUCUCUCAGAACAUAAAGAAAUCUAUCUAUUUCUUAGCUCCAUGUUUAUGGUAUUCGCAACACUUUAAAUUCAGUUGUCCACAAUGAGACCAGUUACACUGUUUGAAAACUUCAAAAGUUAACAGGAAAUCAACUGAAAUUAAAAUAUUAAUAAAUGAAAAA